rnacentral:rRNA from 1 species
UACGUAGGGUGCAAGCGUUAAUCGGAAUUACUGGGCGUAAAGCGUGCGCAGGCGGUGAUGUAAGACCGAUGUGAAAUCCCCGGGCUUAACCUGGGAAUUGCGCUUGAAACUAGCGGGCUUGAGUGUGGCAGAGGGGGGUGGAAUUCCACGUGUAGCAGUGAAAUGCGUAGAGAUGUGGAGGAACACCGAUGGCGAAGGCAGCCCCCUGGGUCAACACUGACGCUCAUGCACGAAAGCGUGGGGAGCAAACAGG